GCCGAUAUAGUUCAGUUGGUAGAACAACAGAUUUGUAAUCUGUGUGUCACCUGUUCGAUUCAGGUUAUCGGCU
rnacentral:tRNA from 1 species